rnacentral:rRNA from 1 species
AGGAUGAACGCUGGCGGCGUGCUUAACACAUGCAAGUCGAACGGUGAUCUCGAGAGCUUGCUCUUGGGUGAUCAGUGGCGAACGGGUGAGUAACACGUGAGCAACCUGCCCCAGACUCUGGAAUAACCCCGGGAAACCGGAGCUAAUACCGGAUACGACACUGGCCCGCAUGGGUAUGGUGUGGAAAGUUUUUCGGUCUGGGAUGGGCUCGCGGCCUAUUAGCUAGUCGGUGGGGUAAUGGCCUACCAAGGCUUCGACGGGUAGCCGGCCUGAGAGGGCGACCGGCCACACUGGAACUGAGACACGGUCCAGACUCCUACGGGAGGCAGCAGUGGGGAAUAUUGCACAAUGGGCGCAAGCCUGAUGCAGCGACGCCGCGUGGGGGAUGAAGGCCUUCGGGUUGUAAACCCCUUUCAGCAGGGAAGAAGCGAAAGUGACGGUACCUGCAGAAGAAGCGCCGGCUAACUACGUGCCAGCAGCCGCGGUAAUACGUAUGGCGCAAGCGUUGUCCGGAAUUAUUGGGCGUAAAGAGCUCGUAGGCGGUUUGUCGCGUCUGCUGUGAAAACCCGAGGCUCAACCUCGGGCCUGCAGUGGGUACGGGCAGACUAGAGUGUGGUAGGGGAGACUGGAAUUCCUGGUGUAGCGGUGGAAUGCGCAGAUAUCAGGAGGAACACCGAUGGCGAAGGCAGGUCUCUGGGCAUUAACUGACGCUGAGGAGCGAAAGCAUGGGGAGCGAACAGGAUUAGAUACCCUGGUAGUCCAUGCCGUAACGUUGGGCACUAGGUGUGGGGGACAUUCCACGUUUUCCGCGCCGUAGCUAACGCAUUAAGCGCCCGCCUGGGGAGUACG